rnacentral:rRNA from 1 species
CCUCCUGCCCAUCCCACCCUGACUGCACAGCCUGUGCUGCUCUCAGAAGUCAAGCAGGAUUGGACUUGGUUAGUGCUUGGGUGGGAGAG